AAUGCAAAUCAAUGACCUGUUCCGAUAGUGUAUUUACCGGACUUUAAUGAUCAUUAACUUGUCUUUUUGCCAUAUGGUGUUUAUCUAAUUUACUGAUACGAAAAUGAGUAAUUGUGAUGAACCUCUUAGCCUAAUUAUUGUUUCUUCUGACUAGCUACCGGUGGCGCUGGAUGUGGUCGCCUACUUUGUCGCACAACUCCUUUGACCAUCAC
rnacentral:lncRNA from 1 species